ensembl:snoRNA
GCUGACACUAGAGUAACAUCCUGACACAGCUCUUGUCCUGGUGUGCUAGAGUUCUCGAUGAAUCUACUGGUCUUGAUUCACUGGCAGGAGCAGUGACUGUGUUAGUAUGCGUAUCUGAAACAUGG